GACGAACGCUGGCGGCGUGCUUAACACAUGCAAGUCGAACGAUGAAGCCGGAGCUUGCUCUGGUGAAUUAGUGGCGAACGGGUGAGUAACACGUGAGUAACCUGCCCUUGACUCUGGGAUAACUGCUAGAAAUGGUAGCUAAUACCGGAUACGACCCUCGGAGGCAUCUCCAGGGGGUGGAAAGAAUUUCGGUCAAGGAUGGACUCGCGGCCUAUCAGCUAGUUGGUGAGGUAACGGCUCACCAAGGCGACGACGGGUAGCCGGCCCGAGAGGGUGACCGGCCACACGGGGAAGGAGACACGGCCCAGACUCCGACGGGAGUCAGCAGUGGGGAAUGUUGCACAAUGGGCGCAAGCCUGAUGCAGCAACGCCGCGUGAGGGAUGACGGCCUUCGGGUUGUAAACCUCUUUUAGUAGGGAAGAAGCGAAAGUGACGGUACCUGCAGAAAAAGCACCGGCUAACUACGUGCCAGCAGCCGCCGUAA
rnacentral:rRNA from 1 species